UACAGAGGUCUCAAGCGUUGUUCGGAUUCAUUGGGCGUAAAGGGUGCGUAGGUGGCGCGGUAAGUCGGGUGUGAAAUCUCGGAGCUUAACUCCGAAAUUGCAUUCGAUACUGCCGUGCUUGAGGACUGGAGAGGAGACUGGAAUUCAUGGUGUAGCAGUGAAAUGCGUAGAUAUCAGGAGGAACACCGAUGGCGAAGGCAGGUCUCUGGGCUGAAACUGACGCUCAAGCACGAAAGCGUGGGGAGCAAACAGG
rnacentral:rRNA from 1 species